AGUGAACGCUGGCGGUAGGCCUAACACAUGCAAGUCGAACGGCAGCACAGUAAGAGCUUGCUCUUACGGGUGGCGAGUGGCGGACGGGUGAGGAAUACAUCGGAAUCUACUUUUUCGUGGGGGAUAACGUAGGGAAACUUACGCUAAUACCGCAUACGGCCUACGGGUGAAAGCAGGGGAUCUUCGGACCUUGCGCGAUUGAAUGAGCCGCUGUCGGAUUAGCUAGUUGGCGGGGUAAAGGCCCACCAAGGCGACGAUCCGUAGCUGGUCUGAGAGGAUGAUCGGCCACACUGGAACUGAGACACGGUCCAGACUCCUACGGGAGGCAGCAGUGGGGAAUAUUGGACAAUGGGCGCAAGCCUGAUCCAGCCAUACCGCGUGGGUGAAGAAGGCCUUCGGGUUGUAAAGCCCUUUUGUUGGGAAAGAAAAGCAGCAGGUUAAUACCCCGCUGUUCUGACGGUACCCAAAGAAUAAGCACCGGCUAACUUCGUG
rnacentral:rRNA from 1 species